GGCACCUAAGUCAUCCAACAUUUCAUUUAUUUAUUUGGACAGAAAAGCUGCAAGGAACAUUUUUAUUGUGAAAAGUUUCUAAGAUAUUUCACAAACAAGAAAUUUAUCGUGCUACAUAUAAUUCAAUGUGCAUCACUUGGACGAUAUAACUCGUCACUUUUCUUUUCUCAUUUUAACAUACAUUUUUCAUUGCUGCGGAUGAAGUUUAACUAUAUAGUGGGGGUAAAAACUUUUAGACAAGAGAGGGAUACUAAGAAAACUGGAAGUUGAAGCCUCACAAGUCACAACACAACCCACCAACGCACUCAGCCUCUCAGCUUUUCACAUUAGACGCGUUACGGUGCUAUGAUAUGGAUUUAAACGCAGCUAUGCGUUCAUGGAAUCAGACAGGUUCGGCUUAGCCACGUGCUGAUAUUUGUUUCUUAACAACAAAUGUUAAUUUUGAUAGAAAUGCCAGUGAAAACCGAAAAGAUUUGAACUGUGAUCUUUCUUUCUUUCCUUCACUCUUAAGUUCCUUUUUCCAACAACUAGAUUAAUCUUAUAUAUCUGUCAUGUGUUGAUAGUGAUAUGAAUGAUUGCUAAAAAAACGCCUAAAAUAUAUGGGAUCCCUCUUGCAUUUUGAGAUUGAUGCACUAACUCAGAUGGAUCCUAGCAGAGCAGUCCCGGUCAUGGGCCUAGCAGAUAUACAUUAUGCAUAUUUUGGUAGAAACAGCUGGUGAACGAAUGGAGAUAAGAGACAACGAUAAUGUCAAUUGCAUGCAGCUCUUUCAAGCUAAAAUGGGAAAAUGUUGACUUAAAAGCUUAGUUUCUUGGUUAAUAGCCUUGUAAGAUGAGUCGGAUUUUGGCCAGCUGCUCAGUCGUUACCAUCUUCAACAAAUCAUUGCAAACUACCACAAGUCAUUUUGUUUCUGGAUACUCACCGUAAGUACUUCAUAGUUACAUCACUGUAAAUCCAGACAGCAAAGCUAGAAUGUACAUAUCACCGCGAUACUGAUCCCUUUUUGCGGUUGAGGGGAGGGAAUACUAUUAUAAAAUGAACAGAAUCUGUUGAGGGGUGAGUGUGACGCAUAAAAGAUGUGAAACCUUUUCAAAAGAAAUUAAUUAAUUUUAUGCCGAUCUGGUAGUUGGGAAAUCAUUUCUGCAGGAAAAA